UACGUAGGGGGCAAGCGUUGUCCGGAAUCAUUGGGCGUAAAGAGCGCGUAGGCGGCCCAGUAAGUCCGCUCUGAAAGUCAGGGGCUCAACCCCUGAAUGCGGGUGGAUACUGCUGGGCUAGAGUCCGGAAGAGGCGAGUGGAAUUCCUAGUGUAGAGGUGAAAUUCGUAGAUAUUAGGAAGAAACACCAGUGGCGAAGGCGGCUCACUGGCCCGGUACUGACGCUGAGGAGCGAAAGCGUGGGGAGCGAACAGG
rnacentral:rRNA from 1 species